UACAGAAACUGGAAGCCUUCAUUGCAAGAAACUUGAUUAGGGCGCGAAUGAAGAGACGGCACAGAGGAGCCUCUAUGGUGAAUAUGCUGAGGUUCUUCUGGUGAAAUCCUUGAAGUUCCACAUCGAAUUGCUCCUCCGUUGGAGCUUAGGUAUUUCGCGUACGUUACAAGGAGGAAGGCUGCUGAAGUUACAUAUUGCAGGUUACCAAGCUGAUGAGUAACUACGCCCUCCAAGAAGCUUAUGCUGAAACUGAUGUUCUUGCUAGAGACGAAUAUGGGAGGAGUUAGCAACAAAGAAGGUCUUACAUUUUGCACCGUUACGUGAGAUUAGUUGAGGUACGCACAAGCUCGUUCGAAUAUUUAGGAGUGAUCAUUUGUCGGUUGGUGUUGAUUUUAUACUUAAAUUGAUAUAAAAAUUUAAUAUGUUUGGUUUC